GCUGCACACAGUUGGAGCUUGGAGCUGAGGCCGCGCCCCGGCCGAGGAGCUCCCGAGUGUAGGACGUGUGCUACAGUGACCCGGCAGGAGCCGCCUGCACCACGAGGGUCUCCUGGCCCCAGGAGUGGUGCUUGGUGGUCGUUCUUGCCACAGGG
rnacentral:snoRNA from 1 species